rnacentral:rRNA from 1 species
UUAUGUGAUCGUCUCUCGCAUAUCAAUAAGCGGAGGAAAAGAAACUAACAAGGAUUCCCCUAGUAACGGCGAGUGAAGCGGGAAGAGCUCAAAUUUGAAAUCUUAAAGGGUUUCCCUUUACGAAUUGUAGUUUAAAGAAGUGUUUUCUGUUGAGGUUUUGGUAAAAGUUCUUUGGAAUAGGACAUCAUAGAGGGUGAGAAUCCCGUAUUUGACCUUUACUUUCAACUUUGUGAUACACUUUCGAAGAGUCGGAUUGUUUGGGAAUGCAGUCCAAAAUGGGUGGUAAAUUUCAUCUAAAGCUAAAUAUUGGCGAGAGACCGAUAGCGAACAAGUACCGUGAGGGAAAGAUGAAAAGAACUUUGAAAAGAGAGUUAAACAGUACGUGAAAUUGUCAAAAGGGAAGCGUUUGACACCAGUGUUGUUUUUCUGAAAAUCAAUUAAAGAACUGUUUAUGCUAAGCUGUUUAGACUUUAUCAGCUAUCUGUUUAGUUUUGAGCUUUUCUUUAAUGCACUUUUCAGUUAACAAGUCAACAUCAAUUUCUUUUGCUGUAAAAAAGCUUGAGGAAGGUGGCUUGAGAUUCGUCUUAAGUGUUUAUAGCCUCUUGCCUAUGCAGUCGGAGAGAUUGAGGUCUGCAGCGUAGAUCCUUCGGGGCUAAAUGCAUUUGUGCUAAGUUAUAGCAUUUUAUAGACAACUUGUUGACUAUGAUUUGUCUUGUAGCUUACUCGCUUAUGUUAUUUUACCUACGCUUAGGAUGUUGAUAUGCAUGACUGAUAU